UCUUAUGAAUGAGCAGAUAAAGUGGUUUCUUGAGAUGGAAUCUACUCCUGGUGAAGAUGCUGUGAA
rnacentral:pre_miRNA from 1 species